rnacentral:lncRNA from 1 species
UGUGUAUAUUAAAAUUAAUUUUGAUGGCUUACUUGAUUCCAAUAAGGCUUCUGCUGCUUAUGUGCUUAAGGAUCAUUCAGCUCAAUUUUUACAAAUAGAGAGAAAAAAUUAUAUAAUGUCACCAUUUUUUUUGUUGAAAUGAUUGCUAUCUGGCUAGGUAUGUGUGCUGCUAUAACUAAAUUUUAUGCUACUUAUAUUAUAUUGGAAGGAGAUUCUGUAACUAUUAUACAUUGGAUUGAGAACUUUCAAAUCCAAAAAUAUAAUGAUUUUCAUUUUCUGAAGCACAUUUGGAAUUAGAAGGUAAUAAUG